rnacentral:snRNA from 1 species
UACUUUAUGCAGUGGCAGUAUCGUAGCCAAUGAGAUUUAUCCAAGCCACAAUUAUUGCUAAUUGAAAUAUGAAAACUAUUAC